GAGGAGUGGCGGACGGGUGAGUAACACGUGGGUAACCUACCCAUCAGAGGGGGAUAACACUUGGAAACAGGUGCUAAUACCGCAUAACAGUUUAUGCCGCAUGGCAUAAGAGUGAAAGGCGCUUUCGGGUGUCGCUGAUGGAUGGACCCGCGGUGCAUUAGCUAGUUGGUGAGGUAACGGCUCACCAAGGCCACGAUGCAUAGCCGACCUGAGAGGGUGAUCGGCCACACUGGGACUGAGACACGGCCCAGACUCCUACGGGAGGCAGCAGUAGGGAAUCUUCGGCAAUGGACGAAAGUCUGACCGAGCAACGCCGCGUGAGUGAAGAAGGUUUUCGGAUCGUAAAACUCUGUUGUUAGAGAAGAACAAGGACGUUAGUAACUGAACGUCCCCUGACGGUAUCUAACCAGAAAGCCACGGCUAACUACGUGCCAGCAGCCGCGGUAAUACGUAGGUGGCAAGCGUUGUCCGGAUUUAUUGGGCGUAAAGCGAGCGCAGGCGGUUUCUUAAGUCUGAUGUGAAAGCCCCCGGCUCAACCGGGGAGGGUCAUUGGAAACUGGGAGACUUGAGUGCAGAAGAGGAGAGUGGAAUUCCAUGUGUAGCGGUGAAAUGCGU
rnacentral:rRNA from 1 species